UACGAAGGGGGCGAGCGUUGUUCGGAAUUACUGGGCGUAAAGGGCGCGUAGGCGGCGAACCAAGUCAGAUGUGAAAGUCCUGGGCUUAACCUGGGGACUGCAUUUGAUACUGGUUUGCUUGAAUUCGGGAGAGGAUAGCGGAAUUCCCAGUGUAGAGGUGAAAUUCGUAGAUAUUGGGAAGAACACCGGUGGCGAAGGCGGGUAGCCAGCCAAACAUUGACACUCAGAUCCGAAAGGUGUGGGGAU
rnacentral:rRNA from 1 species